AUACGAAGGUCCCGAGCGUUAUUCGGAAUCACUGGGCGUAAAGAGUAUGUAGGCGGUUUGGUAAGUCAGGUUUGAAAUCCCGGAGCUCAACUUCGGAACUGCAUCCGAUACUGCCAGACUAGAGUAAUGGAGAGGCAGGUGGAAUUCUCGGUGUAGCAGUGAAAUGCGUGGAUAUCGAGAGGAAGACCAAUGGCGAAGGCAGCCUGCUGGACAUUUACUGACGCUGAGAUACGAAGGCUAGGGGAGCGAAAGGGAUUAGAAACCCCAGUAGUCC
rnacentral:rRNA from 1 species